AUUUAACCAUCGAAAUUUUCAACAUGGUCAAAAUUAUUUGUUUAAUUUAUGCAGUCCUCCUGGUUGGACUUCUGGAAAGUUGUUUUGCAAGAAGUGAAAUUUUGAACGAAGAUACUGAAGAUGCUGGUGAUGCUUUCUCUUUGAAAAAACGAAGUGAAAUUUUAUACGAAGAUAAUUUGUCUGGAGCUGAAGAUGCAUCAGGAGCUGGUGAUGGUUUAUCUAUAGAAAAACGUUCACUGGCGUCAUCUGCAUCAAUGAGCCAAUGCUAUGGAAAGCGUAAUUGCCGAAGGCGUGGAAAAUGAUGAUUUAGGCAAAACAGUAUUCUCAGUAUAAAUUAGUCUUUUGAAAAUUGUUUCACGGGCAUUACAAACACCAACAGAUUUAAACAUGUAUCCAUCAUCUAUUGAAAUAAACAAUGAAACUAAA